ACCUCCCUCGCCGUGCUCGACGCCAUGCAAGGUGCACCGCCUAGUAGGAGACCACGGCUCCGUCUACUUCUUCUGUUGCUGUGUGGUCGACGACGAUGACGCGGCCGUGCGGUCGGUGCCCUCUGACGCUGCCCGACGCAAUGGCUCCCACCAAGAAGGCGAAGAAGAGCGGGGAGAACAUCAACAACAAGAUGCAACUGGUGAUGAAGAGCGGCAAGUACACGCUCGGCUACAAGACCGUCCUCAAGACGCUGCGCAGCUC